GGCGGCAUGCCUUACACAUGCAAGUCGAACGGCAGCACGGGUGCUUGCACCUGGCGGCGAGUGGCGAACGGGUGAGUAAUACAUCGGAACAUGUCCUGUAGUGGGGGAUAGCCCGGCGAAAGCCGGAUUAAUACCGCAUACGAUCUACGGAUGAAAGCGGGGGACCUUCGGGCCUCGCGCUAUAGGGUUGGCCGAUGGCUGAUUAGCUAGUUGGUGGGGUAAAGGCCUACCAAGGCGACGAUCAGUAGCUGGUCUGAGAGGACGACCAGCCACACUGGGACUGAGACACGGCCCAGACUCCUACGGGAGGCAGCAGUGGGGAAUUUUGGACAAUGGGCGAAAGCCUGAUCCAGCAAUGCCGCGUGUGUGAAGAAGGCCUUCGGGUUGUAAAGCACUUUUGUCCGGAAAGAAAUCCUUGGCUCUAAUACAGUCGGGGGAUGACGGUACCGGAAGAAUAAGCACCGGCUAACUACGUGCCAGCAGCCGCGGUAAUACGUAGGGUGCGAGCGUUAAUCGGAAUUACUGGGCGUAAAGCGUGCGCAGGCGGUUUGCUAAGACCGAUGUGAAAUCCCCGGGCUCAACCUGGGAACUGCAUUGGUGACUGGCAGGCUAGAGUAUGGCAGAGGGGGGUAGAAUUCCACGUGUAGCAGUGAAAUGCGUAGAGAUGUGGAGGAAUACCGAUGGCGAAGGCAGCCCCCUGGGCCAAUACUGACGCUCAUGCACGAAAGCGUGGGGAGCAAACAGGAUUAGAUACCCUGGUAGUCCACGCCCUAAACGAUGUCAACUAGUUGUUGGGGAUUCAUUUCCUUAGUAACGUAGCUAACGCGUGAAGUUGACCGCCUGGGGAGUACGGUCGCAAGAUUAAAACUCAAAGGAAUUGACGGGGACCCGCACAAGCGGUGGAUGAUGUGGAUUAAUUCGAUGCAACGCGAAAAACCUUACCUACCCUUGACAUGGUCGGAAUCCCGCUGAGAGGUGGGAGUGCUCGAAAGAGAACCGGCGCACAGGUGCUGCAUGGCUGUCGUCAGCUCGUGUCGUGAGAUGCUGGGUUAAGUCCCGCAACGAGCGCAACCCUUGUCCUUAGUUGCUACGCAAGAGCACUCUAAGGAGACUGCCGGUGACAAACCGGAGGAAGGUGGGGAUGACGUCAAGUCCUCAUGGCCCUUAUGGGUAGGGCUUCACACGUCAUACAAUGGUCGGAACAGAGGGUUGCCAACCCGCGAGGGGGAGCUAAUCCCAGAAAACCGAUCGUAGUCCGGAUUGCACUCUGCAACUCGAGUGCAUGAAGCUGGAAUCGCUAGUAAUCGCGGAUCAGCAUGCCGCGGUGAAUACGUUCCCGGGUCUUGUACACACCGCCCGUCACACCAUGGGAGUGGGUUUUACCAGAAGUGGCUAGUCUAACCGCAAGGAGGACGGUCACCACGGUAGGAUUCAUGACUGGGGUGAACU
rnacentral:rRNA from 1 species